UACGUAGGGUGCGAGCGUUGUCCGGAAUUAUUGGGCGUAAAGGGCUCGUAGGCGGUUUGUCGCGUCGGGAGUGAAAACUCAGGGCUUAACCCUGAGCCUGCUUCCGAUACGGGCAGACUAGAGGUAUGCAGGGGAGAACGGAAUUCCUGGUGUAGCGGUGAAAUGCGCAGAUAUCAGGAGGAACACCGGAGGCGAAAGCGACUCCCUGGCCGAACACUGACGCUGAGGAACGAAAGCGUGGGGAGCAAACAGG
rnacentral:rRNA from 1 species